UACGGGGGGAGCAAGCGUUGUUCGGAUUUAUUGGGCGUAAAGAGCGUGUAGGCGGCCAGGUAGGUCUGGUGUGAAAACUCGAGGCUUAACCUCGAGAUGUCAUCGGAAACCAUCUGGCUAGAGUCCGGAAGAGGAGAGUGGAAUUCCUGGUGUAGCGGUGAAAUGCGCAGAUAUCAGGAAGAACACCCGUGGCUAAGGCGGCUCUCUAGUACGGUACUGACGCUGAGACGCGAAAGCGUGGGGAGCGAACAGG
rnacentral:rRNA from 1 species